CUCUUUCCCUCUAGCAGCACGUAUAAGCACCUCCCCAAUCCUCACGCUCCCUCUCUCUUAAAUCUGCCAUUCUCUCUCUCUCGCUCUCUCCUUUGGCAGAUGUCGCCGGUCCUCCCCGCCUCCGGCGCGGCGAGGCCGGCCCUCUCCUUCCCCCUCCUUCCUUUCUCUUCUCUAUUUUCUUCUCUAAUUCUAAAAUUCCUAACUUAUAUAUAUAGGGUUUCUGUCUCUCUUUUCCCCUCUGAGAUUCGUCUCUCCGGCGAAGCCUACCGCCCCGCCGUCGUCUCUGUCACGCCGCCGCCUCCUCUGUUUCAGGAAUCGAUGAUUCAACUCCGGCGAGGCAGCCCGCCUCCUGAUCAAUGCUCAAGAUUCUAUUUUUUUUCUACUUUUCUUAUUGUAAAUUAUGUUCUUUCAUUGAUUGAUUAUUGAAAAACUGAAGCUGUAAUGGUUGGGGAAAUCGUACUGUGCUUAUAGAAAUUAGAGUUAGAGAUAUCUAUUUGUGCUUAACUGGUGUAGCUAUGUCUGUUUUCACUGCUUUUCUUUACAUAAAGAAUCUACUGUAUUGAAAGAAA